AGAGAGAGAGAGAGAGAGAGAGAGAGAAUGCCAAGCAGGCCCUGCACUGUCAGCACAGAGCCUGAUGUGGGGCUCAAACUCACGAAGCGUGAGAUCAUGAGCCGAAACCAAGAGUCUGGCACUUAACUGCCUGAGCCACCAGGUGCCCCAGCUCUUGUAACCUUGCUUCCACCCUCCCUUUCUGAAAUUCCCACCUCCUUUCUAGCACAUGCUACAUCUACAUCCUCCCUGCUCAAUUGCUACCUCUUAAUUAUUGAUCACAUUGGCAAUUCUGGGGACUCUUGACUCCCCAACCCCCCUUUCAUAACAUGUCAUCUCUAAGACACCUUAGAGGUUUUUUUUGCCCAUUUCUAUCAUUAUUGUAUAUUCUAUGUUUAGCCAUUUCUAUCAUUAUUAUAUAUUACACAAUCAUACUUUGAAGUAAAAUCAUUACAUUUCAGAUCAUUAUAAAGUUAGUUUAUAAGAUAACAUUGAUUUUGGUACCAUCUUAAUAAAAAUUUAUAGCUAAAAAUAAAUGUUAACUUUUACUCCUAUCCUAUAAUAGGAGGGAAAAUGCUAUUGAACUUAAAGUAAUUACAAUAAAGUACAGUACCUCUCAAAUCUUUAGAUGGCAACAUAGCUCACACUCCUUGGGCACUAAAUACCUGAUAGGUCUGAGAGAAAGUACCAACAGUAGGGGAAAAAAAAAAACAAACAAACCCAACGCUGCUUUCCCUGAACUGAUGUUUAAAUUAUUUUAUGUUGCUCUUAAAAAAAAAAAAAGAUCAGUGUAUAUUUAGUUUCUAAACAGUCACAAAGAGGGUUUUAGCAUUCUGUUUGGACUAUAUGCCUAUGGCUAUAAACAGAGCUGAACUGAACUGUCCUUCUUAGGCUCUGCAACUUUGCAUCUACACGGCUUUUCCGGUUACUUAACAUCUCUGUGCCUCUCUCUCCCCCCGUGUGUCCCUUUAGACAACGGUCCUGGGGCAGACCAAUUUGGGCCCAGAAGUGUACAGGAAGCACGGCAAAGGCCUGGAAAGACCAAGAAUGCUCAAAGCAAGAAAAUCAGGAGGGCUUGUGAGAUCACAAAAAUCGAUGCCUUUGUUGUGAGAUCACCAAUUCCUUGAGUAGAGAGGAGCAAACCCUCUGGUUAUUACAGAGGAGACCAGCCUGCACCUUGGGAGGAUUCUAAUUUGUCCCCACGAUGUUGCUAACGGGAGCAACACAUUUCAUGUGCUAGCAACAUGGUCUGCAUAUAUAAUGCGACGGCAGCAGCUUGGGACAGCAGGCUUCCCAGGAUAAUGAACAAUCUUACAUCAGGCCUUCGUUCACCUUCACUAGGCGAAAUGUGCGAAGAUCUUGCCGUAAGAGCAUUCUCGCUAAGCGUGCGGCAACACGGGACUUCAGCACGAUGGAGAGAGGGUGGUUCUUCGCAAGCGGGGCACGGUUCUGCACGAAAGCCUUCCUGGGACUAUCGAUCCACGAGCAUUCACUUGGGUCAAAUGACCAGCUCAGACUACCUGCGUCCACCAGCUUUACAACGUGAAGAAUUCAGCGCUUGGUCCUAAUGCACACAAGCGGCCACCACCAGCACGCCAUGGCACAGUUAACUUCACAAUCAUGUCUGCUCGGCUGAGGAAGUGACCUAGGACUUUCUUAGAAACAAAGGAUUUACCUCCCUUGUCACACUUUGCUGAGGGCUGAUAUUAAGAUGUGCUUGCAUUUCCUGGCUGCAUGUUUCCUUGUGAAGAAAGAUAGCCCAGAAUUCCCGGGAUAAUGUGUAACGGGGCCCGCUAGUAAAGGAAUCGCUAAGGACCUAUGGCACACGGGACAAGAGCCUGGAGAGCAAGGGCCCCUGAGUUGGAGGCCUGGGAAGGACCGAAUAAGGCAACGUGUGGAUGAAGUCUUACGUGAACUGGAAGCUACCAGCUACGUCAUUUCAAGAAUGCUGUGGCCAUCACACAAGGAGCCCUGGACCCUACACCCUGUAAACCCAACCCUUAGAGUUUGGGGGCCCCUUUCCUUCACAGGUACGUGAAUCCCCAUUUGACCUGGCCCUCACCCAUCGUUCUUAGUCCCCGGGCAGGCUCUGUGUUUUCCAAAAUCCCAUCUUUUUGUUUUUUGUUUUCCCCCUUCUUUUCUUUUCAAACGAGUUCAGAUGGCUUCAGCCACAUCUGGGGAAUCCUUGAAGUCUCAAUUCUGAUGCUCACUUAGGACCCAUUCUGCUACACGUUUUUCCAACACGACUGACCUCCUCUCCCAUCCCAACUCUAUGGCCUCUGGGAACAGUCUGACUGUGACAGUACUGAUUAUUAAUGAUACCGUGAACGA